CGGGUGAGUAAUGUAUGGGGAUCUGCCUGAUGGCGGGGGAUAACUACUGGAAACGGUAGCUAAUACCGCAUAAUGUCUGCGGACCAAAGCGGGGGACCUCCGGGCCUCGCGCCAUCAGAUGAACCCAUAUGGGAUUAGCUAGUAGGUAAGGUAACGGCUCACCUAGGCGACGAUCCCUAGCUGGUCUGAGAGGAUGACCAGCCACACUGGAACUGAGACACGGUCCAG
rnacentral:rRNA from 1 species